rnacentral:lncRNA from 1 species
UAUAAGGACACUCAUUCACCAUCAUGUAUUUAGUUCUUCAUAGUUCUUUGAGAUAAGUCACUUGAAUACAUACAACAGUGAGAGUCAGCAAGGCAUUCUAACUCGUACGGGCACCAGGUUGUACGGGGGAUCUCUUCUAUCUUAGUUACGUUUAAGACUUCCAGACACCAGUUCGACUAUUGUUACUUUGUUUACUCAAGCCACUCUAUCGACGAUUAUCAAGGAACCUUUGUGUGGUUCAACCAAGCCUAGCGUACAACGCUGUUUAACUAAGGCAGAUCCAGGUCCGUGACACGCGCACUGGUUUUGCAAUCAAGUGUACAUACUUGUCAUUUAGAAAUUAGGUUUUUUUUUUUUGGUCUGUCGAGGGGUUGGUUACAUGACACAUGCUUGUGGACGACGACGCAUACGCCUAUGAUGUCAUGCCCCAAGACCAACAUUCCUUCCAUUGUUCUCGCUCUCUGAUUGGCCAGCAGCGACUUGGUGUUCUAUUGGCUGGGUUGAGUUGGGGUCAAUUGACAAUACUACCUCCGAGCACUUGGCUUGGUCUGUCUUUCCUUUCAAAGUUUCCAAGCUCCGUACUCCGUUCUCUUAGCACAGACUCAUCUUAGGAACAUUAAAAUUGAGGUCGCCGAAUCGGCGAGUGGAUCGCACUAUUAUAGCACGCCCCCCCCCCCAUACUACGUCUAACCUUAUGGCACCGUCAGCAUCUUCGCAAACCCAUACUCCAUAAUCCAUAUUCCCUCCUCCUUAUCGUGAAUCCAAUCUGUGGUUCACUGGGUACUGGGUCUCAAGAACAAGAAAUAUCAACGGCGUGUUUCAUGUUGAGUGGCGAGUGGAGCAGGGUCUGCCGUCCAUCUGUAGCAUGUAUGUGAGGCACACUGUAGUAUGCGUGUAUGUGUAUGCAGUGCUACUGCAAUCAUGUAACUUACGGAGUAACUUAAGCAUGUUUGUUAUUAGUCACUGCAAGUUAACUAAGUCAACUAAGUCAAGUCAAAAAUUAAAUAUUAAAUAUAAACAAUAACUAACUUAUCAAGAUUACUCGUAGUAAGUCUGGUAAGGCGUUGUUGCAGGGUCAUUACUUGUACCAUCAGGAUAUUAUUCUCCGGGGGAAGAGAUGCGUACUGAAGUCAAAGACGCUGCUGGCAUAAAUUGGAACCCCAGGCACACACACACACACACAUAUGGACUAUGGAGUACACACGUAUGGAGAACACACACACAGAAUCCACGCUCAGGGUUUGGUUUGGCCUCCCCCACACACGGCCCAGCAGCGUUUAUGAGUCAAUCGCUGCGUUGCAGUCGUGACUGAACUCAGGAGUUCGCGGCACACAAAGCCGAUCCGGCAGAGAAGGAAGUACGUAUUGUGUAUGAAUGUACGUACUGGGUAAAGUGGUAAACUCCAUAACUACUCAGAUCUAGUUAACUUGAUUUGGAAGAUGGUCUUUUGAGCUUUUACGAGUACGUACGUACAAGUCACCUGUGAUCUACCGUGGCGGGCUAAAGGAUUAGACCAUCUGCAACUAUUGACUAGCAAACCAUAGCCUUAUGAUUAUUGCUUUUUUUUUUUUUUGUUGGUUUGGUCGUUGCUUUUUUACGCUGCUGCGAGUACAUCGAGUAUUGAUAAUUGAACAAGAGGAUAUCAGAUGUAAAUGUAACUACAGGAGAUAGUGUCGUCAAACAAUCAAGGUGAUGCCUGCUGCAUAUGCAGCACCUCUGUCUCUUCUGUACAUGUGCCCGACCAAUCCACGACAGGUGCUGCUUGAGCCUGCAUAUGCGUUAAAGAGCGGUGAAAGCCGAGUUGUCCAAUGAAUUAGAUUACUGUACGGGGUACUCAGAAAAUUGCUUGCCUCCUCUACUCCUCCUCCUCCUCCUACUACUACGUAUGAGUGCAGUUAAACUCGGCUUCAUAUGAAAGUGUUCUCUUUUUUUUUUUUUUUUUUCUCCCUCGGCUCUCCCCCAACUUGCCCACUUGCCAACAAUCAAAGUUUCCGAAAGAUCAAGGUUCGCCCUAAUCUCCAAUUCAUCAAUCUAAUCUAUUUGAAUUUUGUGCUCCUACCUUAUACUCUUACCUCUUACAGAGUAUGAACUACUCGUAGUCGCGGCUAGUCAGUUCGACUUGUGUAAUGUACAAGUUGGGUCAGUGGUAGCCCCUCCACCGCGCCAAGACAAGACUAUGGUUCCCUCCAAAGAGGGAAGUUAAAUGUCAGAAUUGGGAAUUGGUUUGGGCAAAAAGAAAAGAAAAGAAAAGAAAAAGAAUUUGAGUUUUCCCGACAAUAGGGGUAGGGCACACAAUCUUAAUUCAACGAUCGUGGACUCCGUAAAAAGAGGGUGCACGGUGGAGCGCCACAAAAAUUUAGUUUAAUUGUUUUUUGCUCGAGUGUAGACCCUUUUUGGUCUACUCUGGAGGAACUAAG